ensembl:lncRNA
CUUCAUCUUUAGAGAGAUAAGAUGAAAUUGUUCUUCCAAGAGUAGUUUCUCUUGUUUCUGAUGAGGAUGGAAAGUACAAACUUAUGUUUAAACUCUGAUUUUAACCAUUCCAAUUUUAACUUCAUCCCUACGUAUAACUGCAGAUAUAACAACUCUUAAUGAAGGGGAGGCAUUUUAGAGUUUUGAUCAGAAACAGUCUUUCUGAGGUGGAUGCUGAGGUAGAACCAUAAAUGGGCAGUAGGGAAAAAAACAAAAACAGGGAUUUCACCAGCUUUCCUCCUAUAGCAGGUACCUCCUUGCACUGAUCCUUGUCUAACAAAAGCUAACUUCAUACUAGUUAGUCUGAAGUAGUAGUACUGAAGAAUUUCCGCUUAAGCAAACUCCUUUCUGUCAUAAAACCAUUAAUAUGGUACAAAUAUGUGCACAUAGAUUGAGGCUCAACAUAUUGCAAGUACAACCAAAGAAAAUCUUUUCUUACCCUCAGAUGGAAUGGCUUAUUCUUCUAUUAUAUAUGGAUUUAUUUUCAUUGAAAAUUAACUGACCAGGAGAAUGUGAUUUGCAACAAGAUUUAAAAUUUGAUUUUCUUAAUAAUCAUGUGCAAGCUAAUAAUGUACUAACAUCCAAAGUUUCAUUAAUCCUUGUAGGUAAUACAGAUGUUUAAAUUGAUGUGCCUUUGCAGGCUUACAGCCAGUUGUAUGCUAUUAAAAACAUACACAAAUGUACUGAGAUUUUUAGUUUGUUUUCACAGUGUAAAUAUUAGCUUAGCAAAGUAUAAAGCCUUGAACUUCAGAUAUCUCCUUGAAGGCAUUCAAGGCCAGGUUGGAUGGAAACCUGGUCAGCCUGUUCUAUUGGGUAACAACUCUGCCCAUGGCAGGAAGGUAGAAACUUGAUGGCCUUUAAGGUCUUUUCCAACCCUAGCAAUUCUAUGAUUCGGAUAUUUCCAUGGAAAAUUGAUUACACAUUACAUGUUAGUCAUGUAAUGUCUCAUAUUUUAUUAUGUUGGUACCUGCUGUCAGAGGUGAAUGUUGGUGGUAUGGCAGUAGAGCCUCCCUACAGUAUUCCUUUUCUUUUUACUGCCAUGUGACAGAUGGCAGCAGAGGGGCAGUCUGACAACAUGGUAUCUGACAUGGAAGUGCAGAAGAAGAAAAGGUGUGAAAUUGAAUUGCUCCAUGUGGAAUAAAUGGCACCCACUGACAUUCAUUGAUGCUUUCUGAAUGUUUAUGGAGACCAGCCAGUGGAUGUCAAAACAGUAAAUCAGUGGGUGGUGCGUUUUAGCAGUGGCGACAGCAACAGUGGAUCACCUUUGCUGGUGCAGAUCUGUAGAAGUGCAGCAGGCAGGCUUUUGUUCAUGCAUGGUGAAAAUGCAUAGCUCAUGAUGGUGACUGCGGGAAAACUGUUUUGUAGCUAAGAAUUGGCUCUAUCAAAUAGUCUUAUUGUGCUCUUUGUACCUGUAGUUUUCAUGGAAAUAAAUAGGAGACAAUACUUUUAGAGCUACAUACAUAUAUGCUAAUUUUGGUAUAAGUGUUUACAUAAAGUAAGAAUUAUUCUGUAGUCUUUUGAAAUGUGAAGAUAUCUCUGAAAUGCCAUUCUACUUAAGUGACACUUUAGUAAAUAGUUCUUUUGAAAGGGUAGUUAAAUGAUGUGUCACAGUCUGUAUUGAUGAAUGUAGGAGCAUUAAGCUACCUAUUCCUUAUGUAUAUAAUAAUGUUUUUUUUAUGUAUUUGCUGUGUUUCACCUUUGUUUUUAUUUACUUAUAGCUUCCUUCUGGAAAAAUAUCCUAACAAUUUUAACAGUAAGCUUUACAGAAUAACUCUGGAAAAUAUUUCUAGACUGUUAAUUCUAUUUAGACUUCCCCAGUGCACCUGAGUUAUCCCUCAGAGCUACUUAGAAUACCCCAGCUUUAUCUGAGCUUACAUUGUUUCAACUGAGAGCUCUACUGAAAUCAGCAGAAGUCACACAGAUAUAGUUAUGUAUUUCUGAGCAAGAUCUCUGAUACUGUGAGUUUGUGCCUGUAUUUCGUAUCAGUGGAAGAGCUUGAUCUCAGACGGACACUCAGAGGUUCUAAGGAUGCCCUGUCUGUCUAGAAAGACUACAACUCCAAAAGGAAUAUUUAUCUCCUGGAGAGUUUCAGAUUCCUUUUGUCAUUGAGAAGAGCAGUAGAUACCUACAUGUAAGCAAAUGAACCUUGAGUGGUUUUCCAUAAAUGAACACAUCUGCCAGCUUUGUUCAAAAAUUCAGGUGGCACUGUGCCUCAAACUCAGUUUCCUAUGUUGGAUUUUAUUAAUGUAAACAUAACUUACAAUUUCCACUCUGUAAUAGUUGUUGACUAUAGAACAACAAUCUUGACUUCUACAGCUAUGUAUAAGAUUAGGAGAUUGCGGUUUGAAAAUUUUGUGUUAUAAUUUACAUAUAAUUUACAUAUCUUGCAUUUGCCAGUCGUGUUAUUUAUGAGAUUUAUCCAACACAGUUACUGGAUUUUACUUGAGAGAUCUGUAGCACAGUAUAGGAUUACUGCUGGCACUUUCUUACAUUGAGAUUUUAGUACUCAGAUCUUCCUUCAAAGUUUUUCUGCUGGCUCAGUUUGGUUCUGGACUUUGAUCAGGCUGAGUGGUUGAUGGUUUGGGCAGGCAGCUAAAUUUCCAAUGUUACAUAGGCAUUUCUGACCAUUACUGAAGAAAUAUUUUUGGUCAGCUGUCUGCUCUUGCUACUUCCAUUU